CACACACACACACACACACACACACACACACACACACACACACACACACACACACACACACACAGUCCUGACAGGUGCAAACACUAAACAGAAACAAUCCCCCACAAAACCCAAAGGAAAAACAGGCUCCUUAUGUGUGACUCCCAAUCAGCAACAACGAACUACAGCUGUGCCUGAUUGGGAGCCACACACGGCCCAAAACAAAGAAAUACAAAAACAUAGAAAAAUUAACAUAGAACGCCCACCCAAUGUAACACCCUGGCCUAACCAAAAUAAAGAACAAAAAACCCCUCUCUAUGGCCAGGGCGUUACACUGUCUUACACCUGGGAAGAACUCUUGCAUCUGAGAAAACGUAGUGUACUGACAGUGUCCCAGUCUGACGGUAAAACACUGCAGAUUUAUAAUCUUCAAAGAGAUUAAAUUACACCCCACCACUCUCAUCCCUCAACCACAGAGAGCCUGCACACACACACGCACGCUGCACUCACUCACACACACACAACGGCUUGGGUUUCACCGGCAGAUGACAGUCUGGCCGUCGGCCUGAAAGUUGUUCACAGCAAUACCACCCCACCACAGGUCACCCCCCUCUCCCCACAACACACACACACAAACACAUACACACACUUCAGAAAGGCCCAAUAUAAAGGGGGGGCAAGGUCAGAAGGAACACAUGCUGUCAGACACACUAGUUCAGGUAGGAAACCAUCAGGCGAUGCUUUGAUUCCCCUCCAACCUCGAACACAGAACCACAAACCAUUUAGGCAUCAUGCCUGAACCUGACUGGUAGAUUACAUAUAUAGGCUAGUAUUGAUUGGAGUUAUAAUUGGGGCAGGAAAUUCCAAGCCCUAGUUAUAGUCUAUAACUAUGACCCUUUACGCCGAUAAUUCAAGUUGGUAUUUUAACUUGCUAAGCAUUCAACACUGUUUUAAAUAUUUAGCACACUACCAUAAAAAUUGAAUUCACAAUUUAGUUUCGGGGGUUGUUUUAGAUUCCUUGUCUACAUAAAUCCACAAUUGGCCCUUCCCUAAGCCCCCGAGGUUACUGUUGCAACCUCGGACAACAUUUUCCCGGGAAGCCCAAUUACCCAUUUCACUGCUGGUGAAAUCCCUUCACAAUGAUCCCAAACUGUGUUCCUAAAACACAAAGAAAUUAAACCCCUUGCUAAUCAGGAAACUCUUGGGUAUGUUGUGGUAGACUGUCAUUACAAUUGCUUUAGGGGAACAUGGUAAAAUUAUGUUUGUAGUGUAGCUAACCACUGAAUGGCUCUGAAUUCUCUGUCAGCAUGCAGUCAAAGCUAUGACCACUUUUGGAGCAAACUAGUGCUCUCAAAUUGAAUCCUGAUGUCGACAGCAGAUGGGAGUUGUAUUCAUAACAUUGCUAACUUAGUUAGCUAACAUACAUUUUAAGAAAACAAGUUGUAUUAAGUGGCCAGCUACAGUAGCUAGCGUUAGCAAUGUUUGGUGGUCAAAGAGUGAGAGCUAGCUAGCUAACCAGCUGAGCUAGCAAACAAUGUAUUGUAUUGAUUCCUGCAUUUCAGGAAUCACAGUAGCAAGUACUCUUGGUGCACUGUACAAUUAUUAAGCUAUUUAAACAUACAGUUUUUAAAGAAAACUAUCAAUUUUUGCCAUAGACCUCACUGGCUUUCAUGCGAUUUAAACAUGAGCUUGUCCGACAGUUGCUAUCCAGCGCUGGAGUGCUGCGAUUAGUUGCCCAACAUUUGGGGCGGGGCUUAUCGAAGGGUCAAUUGUUCCCAGACUUAUGCCAAGGCAUUAGGGUGAAAAAGCUCUCAUUCAUGUGUGGACACUUACAUUACAUGUACUAGAACAAUAACUAAGCACGCAAGUACCACACAUCGUCCAUAUGAGCUUCUUGCAACCUGAGAACACAUGCAUGGGCCCCAGGUCUUAAACAGGCAUUAACAUGCUAGCUCUAACACAAUGUGAAGAAAGGGGAGCAGCAUAACAAAAACAUAGGCCUCUCACCACUGCGAAGUGUCGAUGAAGGCUGUCCUUCACUGAGUCUGAUACAUUUCAAACAAUGUGUUUCAAAUUGCACUCUAUUCCCAAUGUAGUUCACUACUACCCAUAGGGCUCUGGUCAAAAGUAGUGCACUACAUAGAAUAAAGUCCUUUUUGGAAUGCAGUGUUACAUUAUACUGCUGGAGGACAAGGAGAGGGAGUCGGCUCGGCGCCCUUUUAGGUAUGGUUGCUGCUCGCCGUAGAGGACAAAAUCUAUCGCACUCCAUUGGGGGGGAUGCCACCUCCAAUGUACCGUUCGCUGUCUUGGGACAGGAAGUACAGAGCUAUUUCUGAACCAAUGUCAGCCACAGCCCCAUGACUCUUCUUCCCACAUCCCAACUCCCCCCUCCCACCAACCCCACCGUCACCCCCUCUGACCCCAGCCCCCACUACAACACCCUAGCCUGGGAUCUGAUUGGAAAGCACUGCUGUGUCUGCAAAAUAUAGCCUGGCAGACUGCAGACAAUGGCUCCAGCUCAACUCUGCAGCCAACGGUCAUGUUUGGGGAAUAAAGCAUUAGCAAGGGUCUCAUAGCAUCCUGUCACAGAAGAUCCCUGUCUGUGACAUGGUGGAGAGCGGUGCCAAUAUAUCAAUAUAACGCCAUGUCAAGUGUUUAAUGCCCAAGUAGCUAUUGACUGUUUUCUUCUCUGUGUUAUAUUUAUUAGCCUGUCUAUAUUCAGCACCGUCAUUGCGGUCUGAUUUAUUCAUAUGAUAUGACAGGUCUUUGAACUUCCCAUCUACCAGGGCUGGUGUGGAGCUAUUGGGAGAACAGGCCCCGGCUGUGCUUGAUAAAGUGGAGGGUAACUACAGUGUAGCAACAUAACAAACAGGCUUAUUGAGCGAUUCAAUGAUGUACACCAUACAGAGACGCCAAUAGUGUGAAUCAUCAAGCCAGCGUGUUCAGAACAACGCCAACCCCUGUACACAAUCCUACCCUUGACAAAACCUGACGAAAACCCCCCAACAAAAGAAUUUUCUUCUUUUCUUUUUUUGUCACUUUUUUGUUCAUACCCCCCCUCCCCUGCAAUGGAGACAUAUUUGAAUGUGUGGGCAUUGGAAAUCCUGCAUCACACAUUACCAGAGAUUUCAUCUCCACUGAAUGGAUGCAUUUGACAAUUUUUUUGUGGGAACUGUUUCCCACUGAACAAGUAGAGAACAAGGCCCGUUGUUCGACAGAGGAACCAAUGCAGCAGAUGACGGUUGUGGAGGGAAGACAUGAAUAAAAUGAUUUAAAGAGGUCCCUCCCAUUCACUUUGUCUUUGACUCUCACUCCCACUCAUGUUUUUAUGACGUGUUUCAAUAAUUACCUCAGGCUGAGUUCAUCGGGAGGACUGGCUUUGUGAAAGAGAGAAAUGGAAAAGACCCACACACAUGAAGAAAAGAGAUAAGACCUACUUUGUGAUGGGAAGAGGACAGAAAUGAGUUUGUUGACAACACAUAAACAUAUUUUCCAC
rnacentral:lncRNA from 1 species